UACGAAGGGGGCUAGCGUUGUUCGGAUUCACUGGGCGUAAAGCGCACGUAGGCGGAUCGUUAAGUCAGGGGUGAAAUCCUGGAGCUCAACUCCAGAACUGCCUUUGAUACUGGCGAUCUUGAGUCCGGAAGAGGUGAGUGGAACUCCUAGUGUAGAGGUGGAAUUCGUAGAUAUUAGGAAGAACACCAGUGGCGAAGGCGGCUCACUGGUCCGGUACUGACGCUGAGGUGCGAAAGCGUGGGGAGCAAACAGG
rnacentral:rRNA from 1 species